UGGGCCCUGGUCUACGGGGCCGGGAAGGUGCGGUUUAGAUGCUGCUCGCUGGACUCGCGUUCCCCGGGAAGCCUGCGCUGACCACUGUACCCCUCUUCCUCCUCCGAGUUCCUAUGACUUAACUUGUGCCGCUCGAUCCUUGAGGAAGCCACAGGAAAACAAUCUGACAUCAGGUAAGAAUCCGAGUCAAAAUUUGGUGAAACUGAAGAGAAAUUGGAUGUUCCCGGUGGCUCCAUAAGUACCUAUGGUAGGUCCGGGCUGAGAUGUUUUCCUUGGUGACCACUUGUCCACACAGCAGGUGGAGGGUGCAGGAGGCCGAGAGGAAACCUACCCUUCUCGGAGGCUCCAUUUCCUGCUCAGUAAAGUGAAGUUGGACUCUAGGGGGCAGAGUACGAGCAGGAUUGGUCAGGGAUGCAGGGCUGUUCAGACUGAAAUCAAAUACAGGCCGACCUCAGAGAUAACUGCAGAUUCCAGUCCAGACCACCGCAGUGAAGCGAAUUAUCGCAAGAAGGAUUAUGGCAGGAAAAGUGAAAUGGGUCACUGAUAUCGAGAAGUCGGUGCUGAUAAAUAACUUUGAAAAGAGAGGAUGGGUCCAAGUGACAGAAAACGAGGACUGGAAUUUUUACUGGAUGAGUGUGCAAACCAUCCGCAAUGUUUUUAGUGUUGAGACUGGCUACCGGCUCUCAGAUGAUCAAAUAGUCAACCAUUUCCCGAACCACUAUGAACUGACGCGGAAGGAUCUGAUGGUGAAAAACAUCAAGAGAUACAGGAAAGAGCUGGAGAAGGAAGGGAGUCCUUUGGCAGAGAAGGACGAAAGUGGGAAAUACCUCUACCUGGACUUCGUCCCCGUCACCUACAUGCUGCCUGCCGACUACAACCUGUUCGUGGAGGAGUUCAGGAAAAGCCCCUCUAGCACCUGGAUCAUGAAACCUUGUGGCAAAGCCCAGGGAAAGGGCAUCUUUCUGAUCAACAAGCUCUCGCAAAUCAAAAAGUGGUCCCGGGACAGCAAAACGUCUUCGUUCAUGACUCAGUCUACCAAGGAAGCCUACGUGAUCUCUCUGUACAUUAACAACCCAUUACUAAUCGGCGGCAGGAAGUUUGACCUGCGCUUGUAUGUUCUGGUGUCUACGUACCGCCCACUGCGCUGCUACAUGUAUAAACUUGGAUUUUGCCGCUUUUGCACAGUAAAAUACACCCCGAGUACCAGUGAGCUGGACAACAUGUUUGUUCAUCUCACCAACGUUGCCAUUCAGAAACACGGGGAGGAUUACAACCACAUCCACGGGGGCAAGUGGACGGUGCACAACCUGCGACUCUACCUGGAGAGCACCCGAGGCAAGGAGGUGACCAGCAGGCUGUUCGACGAGAUCCACUGGAUCAUCGUGCAGUCCCUGAAGGCUGUGGCGCCGGUGAUGAACAACGACAAACACUGCUUUGAGUGCUACGGCUAUGACAUCAUCAUCGACGACAAGCUGAAGCCCUGGCUGAUCGAGGUGAACGCGUCCCCAUCCCUCACCUCCAGCACGGCCAACGACCGAAUCCUUAAGUAUAACCUGAUUAAUGACACCCUCAACAUCGCCGUCCCUAACGGCGAAAUUCCAGACUGUAAAUGGAACAAGUCACCCCCAAAGGAAGUCCUUGGCAAUUAUGAAAUUCUCCCCGUUUGCCACCAGAAGCCCAAUGCAGAAAUGUGUUCUUCACCCUCAGAGCCUCUAACCCACCCUCAACCCACGGACUCUGGCUCUGGGAAUGAGCUUAUAACGGAAGCACACGCUCUCCCAGAAGUCAGCAAGAUGUAGCUAACGCAACAUAACUGAGCAUCUUAGCACCGUCUACGUUUGAUGUGAACGUCUUCACACGUGUCACAGAGGCUCCUCGGUCAGGGUGUGGUCAGCAGUGAUACCUACGCACACACUUCAACAGUGGCAGGAACUUCACGCUCUGAGCUACAGGGUACGACGAGGAGCUGGCACAGGGCGACGGGGCUGACCGAGAGCUGAGGAGUCGGCCAGGCCAGUCGCUGGGGCCCAGAGGGGGCCGAUCGAGAGACUCCGGGAGGACCGUCCUCACAACCUGGAAGUGACCACC